UCCCUGGUGGUCCAGUGGUUAGGACUCUGUGCUCCCAAUGCAGAGGGCACAGGUUUGAUGCCUGGUUGGGGAA
rfam:Ovis aries breed Texel chromosome 4, whole genome shotgun sequence.